rnacentral:rRNA from 1 species
ACACGACUACAUUAGAUACCCGUGUAGUCCCAGCCCUAAACGAUGCGCGUUAGGUGUAUCGGUGACCACGAGUCACCGAGGUGCCGAAGGGAAACCGUGAAACGUGCCGCCUGGGAAGUACGGUCGCAAGGCUGAAACUUAAAGGAAUUGGCGGGGGAGCACCGCAACGGGAGGAGCGUGCGGUUCAAUUGGAUUCAACGCCGGACAACUCACCAGGAGCGACGGUUACAUGAAGGCCAGGCUGAUGACCUUGCCUGAUUUUCCG